UACGUAGGUGGCAAGCGUUGUCCGGAUUUACUGGGCGUAAAGAGCGCGCAGGCGGUUGGAUAAGUCGAAUGUGAAAGCCCCCCGGCUCAACUGGGGAGGGUCAUUCGAUACUGUCCGACUCGAAGGCAGGAGAGGGAAGCGGAAUUCCCGGUGUAGUGGUGAAAUGCGUAGAUAUCGGGGAGGAACACCAGUGGCGAAGGCGGCUUUCUGGCCUGUUCUUGACGCUGAGGCGCGAAAGCCAGGGGAGCAAAGCGGGG
rnacentral:rRNA from 1 species